GCAUUCAUGCUGUUUUUUUGGGAUAUCGUGAACCUAAACCUGAAUAUAGAAGACCAAUGGAGUUUAUACCUUCAUACCCACCGCCAUCAAUGCAAUGUGAAAUGAUAAGAUAAUAUUACAGGUAGAUUGCAUUGGAAUGUCGAAUUUGUAAUUAGAUUCGCUCAUUAUCGUAGGAUGUCGACCGUACUCCACUGUGCAAUACUCAUUACCGUACCAGCAACUGAUGAGCGCGGUGUUACUAGGGUGCGACAAAUACGUUUCUGCUUAAUUCAAAUUUUCAUGUGUUUUUGACUAUAAAAUUUGAAUAUUGAAUAAAUAUAGUUGUGUGCUCUUAAAAAAUAACAAUACGAAACUGCUCUGUAAAUGGAUGCCCAGAAACAAAAUCCAUCAUGGAAUGGUGACCAAAACCAACAAGAUUCAUCACGGAUUGGUGACCAAAAAUCAACCUCGUCAGUCAAAGUAGAUAACAAACAAGUUGAGCAAGUCAGACCAUCACGAUGGAAGCGUGCAGGAAAAAAAUGCCGAAAAAACGAAGAAGAUGCUCAAAAACGACUCCAAUACUUAUUAAAACAAUUAUCGACUCCUCGUCGCUAUAAUUGAAAAAAGCUAACAUGUAGAUCUCAUUCAAGGUUUAAAAAGAAUAAAAAAUGAGUAAAAUUAGUUGAAACCCAUAAA
rnacentral:lncRNA from 1 species